UGAUCACCAGGUGGUCCAUCAAUGCCUCUUCCAACCUGUCCUUUGUCUCCUUUGUCACCUUGAUUACCUAAAACAAGAGAAGAAAUCAGUCAGUAAAGUAUAUUUCAUGGUAAUAUGAAAAAAACAAGCCCUCAUAUAGCUCUGUGGAUGAAAAAAAUAUGUCUCUUAGAAGGAGAAAAAUAUCAAAUAAAAAUCCUGCAUAAUUUAAGGAGUUAAAUGACUAUGCCUUAAGCCUUAAGUUGCAGCUCUACUAGAUUUCUCAAAGAUGGAUUGAAAUACAAGGCCAUCAGCAGAGCUACUGUACCACCAAGCACACUUAGAGCAACUGUAUACUGACUAUUACUUUUGCGCGAAUGGGCCUAUAUUAUUUUUUUCCACUUUAUUUAUUUAUUUAUACUCUAUAUUGGUUGGAUUGGUCUAAAUUGUUCUGUGGGUAGCAGCAUACCCUAUACAGCAGUUGUGAGAGGUGGUAGGUAUGUGGUGAGGAUGCCUGUCUCUGAUAGAGAUCCAAUCACCAUGACACCCCACAGGAGGCUCCCCAGGUUCAUUCAUGGGGAAACCCCUUGUGAUCACCCAUGACCCACGUACUGAUCUGUAAAAGUAGGGGAGCCAUGCCAGCUCUGUCUGCAUAUACCCGUGCCUCUGAACACGUGACGUCCGCCGAUAAUAUUAUAUCUUUGAUGGUUGAUGCUUUACAACAGCAUGGGCAAAUUUGCCCUUUACUAAGAUGGCCCCUGAUGCCUUAUAUCACACACACGCUUCCUAUUGGUCACCGUGCCGCAGUUGCACAGUUCUACAACCCCACGCUACAGUAAACACACGUGCAUCCCCAGUAUGCUCUGCCGGGUAAGCGCCUUAAUAGUGUAUAUUAUUUAAUUACUUGUAAUCCGAAACUGUUCUCAAGCAGAUCGCUGCACUACUGUCACUUACACAGCUGGAGAUCACUGAAGUCACGGCACUAAUUCUUUAUUGUAAUUACAUUACUGUAUUAUGCCUUAACACUGUAUUGUAUUGAUGGUACACAUGCUUUUGUUUAUAUUUACAUUGUACUUGAUUGGUUAAUGAUGUAAUCACUGAGUGUAUUUAACACCCACAUGGGAUCAUGCACUUGAGCUUGAAAACGGUGACGAGAGGUCAUAGAAACGUUGCUCUUAUCUGUUACACUGGAUAUAUGGAAAAACUUCCACUUUUUUGACACUAUUUUUGUGUGCUGCUGUGUUCUGUAUUUUUUAUGUGAGUGGAACCACUGACCAGGGUUCCCAUACAGCCUGCACCUGCCUCUAACUUACUACUAAUUUGGUUGAGCUGCUCUCCUGGGAUUUUUAUCUAUCUAUUUAUCCAUCCAUCAUUUAUUUCAUGUAAGACAUCUUUGAAUUGGGAAUUUCCACUGCUGGUCUCCGAGACUCAUGGGAUCUGUAGUUUAUUUCCUCUCUCUGGGCUUAUGGGCGCCCCUCUGUGAUGUUUCGUUCAUGGGAUGUUGCUUAGAGCAGAAAAGACACUGCAGGGGGC